CUAAGGGAAACACUUUACUUAUAAGUUGUAUUUUGCUUUAUCUAGGUUUAUUCCAUGCUUCAGUAAAAUGUUGAUCCAGGUUAACUAUGGUGAGGUGCACAAGUAUGUUAAGUUGGAUGAGGUUGAAGGGCAGUUUGACUUUCAUCAAUUCCAUGAGAGAGUCAUUGAAAGAUUUUGCCUGCCAGCUGAUGCCAAAGUUGCAUACAUGGAUGGAACAGAUACUGAAGUUGAUGAAGAAAUAUUCAGUGACCUCAUUAAACAAGGCAAUGUUGUGUUGAAGGUUUACUGCCAUGAUGAGUUCUCUGAAAGGUCAUCUGCUUCUGAGUAUGACUCAAGCUUCAGCUCAGAUGCAUCAACAUCAACAAUACUGAGGGAUGAGAUCCCAUGGAAGAUGCAA